rnacentral:rRNA from 1 species
UACGUAGGGUGCAAGCGUUGUCCGGAAUUAUUGGGCGUAAAGAGCUCGUAGGCGGUCUGUCACGUCGGCUGUGAAAUCCCGAGGCUCAACCUCGGGUCUGCAGUCGAUACGGGCAAACUAGAGUAUUGCAGGGGAGACUGGAAUUCCUGGUGUAGCGGUGAAAUGCGCAGAUAUCAGGAGGAACGCCGGUGGCGAAGGCGGGUCUCUGGGCAAUAACUGACGCUGAGGAGCGAAAGCGUGGGGAGCGAACAGG